ensembl:lincRNA
CAACGUGCUGGGAUUACAGGCAUGAGCCACCUCGUCCAGCCAAUUCACAUAAUCCUAAUGGUGAUGGGAGACUUUGGGGAAAAUGGAAAGCUCUCCUGAAGGCUUCAGGCAACAGAAAUACCCAGUCUCUACCCAGAUAUGCCAGGAGAACAGGCAGGAGCCAGGGCGCCGCUCACAAGUGCACAUGCAGUGUGGGAAGUGUCUGGGGUGUGUCUGCUCCAUGCUCACGGGCAUGCACGUGCAGUUGGGAGCCACACUCCCAACGGCUAAAGUCCCAGGUUCUGGACUCACUUAGACUUGGGUUCAAAUCCCAGCUAAGCCAUUUAAUAGCUGUGUGACCUUGAGCAAGUGACUUAACCUCAGCCUCAGUUUCCACAUCUGUAAAAUGGGAGACAGGAAGAACAGGCACCUCCUCAGUCAGGGCUGUGAAGAUUCGCAGAGGUGAGCAAGUGAGGCACUGGCACAUGAUUGGCACAGGAAUAAGUGCCCAUCAUGGCUCGAGGACCAGCUGCAGCCUUAUGCUGAGGCCUGGGGAUGCAACUAGGGGCUCAGCUUGGGCUGAAUGAAGACUCAGGAAUGUGAGCUUGGGAAGGGAUUUGCAGUCUGGAGAAGAGAGGGCCUGAGGCUGCAGCUCUGGGACACUAGGAAUGGCUCUUUCCCACGGAGGCUCCCAUGAUCAGGAGGCGACCCAGGGGAGGAAGGUCAGAGCCAGGGGUGACAGCCCCCACUGGAGGCCUUGUCUGAAGACUCAGGCUCUCCCCUUUCCUAGGGAUCCCCUCUCUAGCAUGGCCCUCAGUGAGGGGCCAUGGGAGGCAUCAGCUCAAGGACCCUAUGUCAUUCUGACCUGGUCCCCUGGGCCUUUCCCCGGCAUGGGGAUGAGGGUGAGGGAUCCUGCCCUCCUGAGAGAGCAGCGGGUGGGGAGGAGAGGACCCAUGCCCUGCCCUCAGCUUCUGGUCACGUGGGCUUCACCUCUCUGAGACCCAGGCACUUUGCCUCUAUGCUGGGGACUCAGAGUGGCGGUUCCCCAGUGCUGGUUCCAAACACAGAACAUGGAACAGACUCAUUGCUAAGGUGCCGCAGCCACUCAGGAGGUGGAAGCAAGACCGUGACCCUCGCUGGGAGGCAGCUGGCUUUGGCACCAUGCUUUAUCCCCAAACUUUAUCCCCUCAGACUCUCGGUCCCCUCUGCUAUGAGACAGGGGAGGGACGUGGACAAUGCAGAACCACUUCUGGGCUCAAGGCUGCACAAGGGCACACAGUGCCAGGCACAGGGGACGCUCUGUGACCAAGGCCAGGCAGAGAUGGUCCUGAGGGCACACUUCCCACCCACCCCAGCGCUCACAGGCUAUGAGUCAGCUGGGACCACCUGCAGGGGCUGGGAGGGGCUGCCAGGGAGAAGGGUUGAGCCAGCCACUCCCACCACCUCGGACUCGCUCGGAGACACACUGAUGAUGGUGCAAGAGAUGCUCUCAUGCGAGGGCUCCUGCAGGAUCCCUUCUGCUGCUGCACAAACAACAGAGCUUCGAUCCUCACAUGGCCCAGUGAUGAGUCGCCAUGAGCGUGCCCAUUCCACAGAGGAGAAAACUGAGGCUGGAAUAAACACACACACACACACACACACACACUCUCCACACCCACACCCACUACCAUCAUCUCUUCAUACUACACACACACUUAUAAAAAUGACCCCCCUCACAUGCCACAUACACACACUCAUAGUCACCCCACAUGCCACAUACUUAUAAAAGUCACCCCACACCACACACACACACUCACACACACACACCCAUAUAACAGUCACCCUACACACCACACACUCACAGUCACCCCACACACCAUACACACACACAGUCACCCCACACACCACACCUCAUAAGUCACCCCACAUACCACACACACACACACACUCAUAAAACAGUCACCCUACACACCUCACACCCAUAAGUCACACCACACACAUACUCAUAAGUCACCCCACACACCACACACUCAUAGUCACCCCACACACCAUACACACACACUCAAAUAGUCACCCUACACACC